GGUUAUUAAUCACGCGGGGGCACGAUCAACCUAACCACGAAGGUCUUUGUUCCUGCAAGCAAUCGAAGACCAAGCAAGAACAAGAUACAUAGUGGAUGCAAUCUAAAAUUGCGAAUAUACUAUAUCAAACCAAUGUCUCAACGAGACGAUAAGUUGGGGUUCCGAAAGCGGUAAAACAGGUGGUCUAACUGACACACGCGAUUACAUGAAGUAGUACCGAUGGCUAACUUUUAACUAAACAAAACCCAAGGCUCCUUAGGGGGGCUCAUGGGGUAUAUAAAGGAGGAGGGAGAGAUAUUUUCGUCCACCUUGAGUAAGGAGGCGGAAAUCCAACUCUAUCUCUAACUUUCCUAACAAACUACAACUCUUUAGGAAACAGGAAAACAGAUCCGUCAACUUGUUUUGUCCGCCACGGUCAGCACGAGUCGAAUCUCUUGAUGGGGCAAGAUCCGUUGGAAAGGUCUUGUAAUUACCUUUCCAACAAGUACUUGUUUGUUUUAUUUGGACUCCGGAUGCGGCCUGGGUGAUUAAAACAAAUUCGGCUCUCCUGACAGCUCGGACCCGAAUCAGAUUCAACUUUAAUUCAUGAUAUCUUUCUCUGGCAAGCUCCGAAUCAUGUGCUGUUUGAUUUGUUGGAAAGUACACUUGAAAUCCUUCCCUCUCAAUUGUAUGAAUGCUUGAUUCUUGUUGGCCCUCCCGUUCGCCUCCAUCGUAUCUCAUCUUGACCUUGGACUUGAAAAGUUCAAUAAGAUGCCUACGUAAUAAAACGAGACAAGAUAGUAGUAGCUCCGCCUCUUCAUAAAUAUGACAAUGAAAACAAUUACUAUUUAAAUUCACCUGAUUAUAAAUCUUGUCAAAUAUUAUAGAAUUGAGGGUACCAAAGGUCGUAUCCAUGGUUAGCAUGUCCAUAUCAAACGUUCUCUAGGACUAUCAGAUCUCAGAUCCAACGGUGUAAACAAUACUGAUGAUGUGGAUCAACGUGGUGCCUCCCCUCGGUACCCCUCAUAUUGCUUUUAGUAUAUAAUAGAUUUUAACCUUCACGGGCGGGAAAACUAAAUCGAUGAUCGAUGCAAUUAUGGUAACUAUGACCUGAAAUCUGGGUAACUACAUCGGUAUUGUUGUGGUAAUUGUAACCUUAAUAGUUGGGUAAGUACAUCAGUGACAUGGUGAUAACUGUAGAAAGGACGCUUGGGUAACUAUAAUUAUUUACUUUAACACAUGGGUAACUACAGCAUUGCUACCACCUACCAAGUAGUGAGGACAUCCACUCCAAAUUCACUAAGCACGAAAUAGAGACGAUAUGAGUUGUUGUGGCCAUCGAACACCUUAGGCAUGUGUAGUAUGAGUGACAUUUCUUCUUGGGAUCCAGCAAACUACACAUGGCAACAAAGAGAACCUUGACAUAAUUGCGCACUAUGGAUUCCAUUGCCAGAACACACACUCGUCACAAGAUCUAUUCUGAGCUCGGUAACAAAUAGGCUUGACAUUUUAGAUUCAAUCAAAUUUUAUUGGCAAAAAUGGAAUAAGAAGAAUAUAGUGAUAGCUACCGAUUCGCAGUAUUCAAAUAUACUAAUCAAACCAUGGAUAGUUUGUGAUUUUCUUUGUAUAACCUAAUUCGACAGAAAUAAUAUACCUGAAGCUGAAGCUCUCAUGUUGCACUCGGCUACUCAAGUGUGAGAUUUGCAUAUCAAGCGAACACCUACUUGCUUUGCCACCAGCCCCCCACACGUCCUAUCACGAGUGCUGCCACCUCCUUUUUGCAGCCUCGCAUGUUCUCCAUCUUGGCUUCCAUGGUUGCCGCGUCAUGCUCACUGGAUAUCCUCCUGGGAAGAGUGCAUGGCAUCUUCAAUCAUGUAGAAAGUCCACUAUCUCUUGGCCUAGCUGAAAGCAUGACCCUAUAGUGCAACACAAACAUUAAUCUCAAUGAGCAUUAGGUGCUGACCACAGUGCAUAGAUGUAAGUGUUUGAGCCAUGUGCAUGCACUCAAGUACGGAAUCGUGACUUCGCAGCACACUAAAGUCAUGAGAAUGAAUGAGAAAUACUCCUAGUCAGUUGGUAAUUUCAUCAAACACCUUAAGGGCGCAUGACACCUCUACAUGGAUCCCUCACCUGAUGCUCCUUGGACCCGGGCCGCGUGAUUCCUGGACUCGCUCCUAGUUGCAGUUCUUCCCCGGCGCCACCACACGCACCUCAGCCUGGCCCCCUAGUUGCAGUUCUGCCCCGGCGCCACCUCACGCACCUCAGCCUGGCCCUCGCUUGCAGAGCCGGAGCGGUGACCGGGGUCGAUGCCGAUGUACCGGUGCAGGUUCGGGUCACCAUCGUCUCCGGCCUCCUCACCUCCACCUGGAGAAAGGCCUCGGGAUCUUCGGCGACGGCCGCCACAUACUCAGCUUCCGCGUCAUCGACGGCGAGCAACGUCUCCAUAAUUACAACUCCUCGUCACCUCUGUCGUGGCCUCGUCGGUUACGAUCAAACACCACCAGCAGCCGCGACGCCCCUCUUCUAUCGCGUCCAAGCCCUACCGUUGCCGAGCAGGGACGUAAGAAAGGCAUAGAAAGCUGCUGGCCUGCUGCUUCCUUGCCGUGGUGCUCUCGGUUCAUCGUAGAUUUGGAUGGGGCACCGGAGAGACAGAGACGGAGAGAGGGACACAGACAGACCUAAAUAAACCGAACAUGGGCCCCAAGUAUGUAAAAAGGUCCAGCCAGCCAGCCCAACUAUCAAUGGCUAACCAGAAAAAUAGCCCAGCCCAACCCGCACUACCAAGGCCCACCUAAUCGAUCUGGUCGGGAGUUCCAGCCCAGAAAAACAGCCCAGCCUCCACGCCUCCAGGCUAGUACGCCACGACGGGAGUUCCCGAUCCAUCGGUUUACUCGGUCGGAACCAAAAGCGGACCGAAAAAUCCAUGGACCAAAGCGUCGGUUAGCGACUUUUGAAACCGAUCGAUCAGCGAUUCUAGAAACCGAACUUUUUAGAAACCCGGGAAAUUAGCCGAACAGAUCUUUUCGGUUAGACCGCGAAUGCCUAGACUGUGAGGGUUUGAGACCGUUUGCUCCAGCUGGCAGCUUGUUGAAUGAAACAUUCCAUUCUUGAAAAUACGUGCUUUGACCUUAGGUCCUUCACCUCCGGUCUUCAGUUCACUACGUGACAUAUCGAAAAUAUGAUCUCCACGCCAAGUUCAAGUUCAGUAUAAUCCGUCAAAAACGUCUUGUCAGUCCUCGAUCGGCUGCCAUUGUCGUGGAAAUUUCAGGUUUUACCGGCCGGUCCAUGGUCUCGUCAGUCGUCACGAGACGGAACGAUGAAUCGGUCGAGCUGCAUGCUACGUACCUUUGCUAUAAGUAGAGAUCACCACAUCCUUCAGCUUUCCAUGCACCAGCAGUACACAGUAGUCUAGAUCUUCUCGAGAUCAACACGCAACAGCUACACUACACUUUGCGAAUUAUUUGUGUCCCAUCUCCCUCUUGACCGGCCGGUUAAUUAAGAGAUCGAUGAUGCUGAAGGGAGGAAGAAAGGGAGCGAAUGCAGUGGUGGCGGGGCUGCUGCUGCUUCUGCUCGUGACGGCGUCGCUGCAUGCCGGCGUCGUCGUGGAAGCGCGCCGCCUGGGAACGGAUGGCCGUGAGCCGCCUGUUUCAGCCAGCAUGGCCUCGUUAUUACCGCCGCGUUCUGACUGCACCCACAAUCCUACCGGCCCACCAAGCGGGGUUUGCCCUCCAAAGUCGCCGUAGCUUUUUUGGCUGGCUUGCAUAUGCGUUGCGUGGAGCCCAGUAUAUAUAUAAACAGAGAUAUAUUGUCAUGCAUUCGUCAGUAAAAUAAGGUAGGGUUGAGUUUUGCAUGGCGCCGAUGAUGCACACUUAAGCUGGGCAUGUUGUAAUUUCUGUUCUGUUAGUUAAGUCAGAAUAGUUGUUAACACAGUAGCAUUACAUUUUGUUUCCAUAAACCUGUUUCAGAGUAAUAAAUAAAGAACGCGUCGACUAUUGAUUUGUUCACCGUCUGGCUUUUAAUUCUUUAUUCUUGCGCGAAUGAAAAAUUAGUGCAGCGGGUUCCGUACACCAGGGCUACGUUAGCUAAUCCUGCCCACGGGUACAUACGCUCCACCUUCUGGUUGCAUAAGCAUAACAAAGGAUGGUAUUUGAAUUUAGUUCACGUGUUUACGCUUGUUUGUAUAUCGAGGGAGCGCGGCUUAAUGUUGGUGGAGAAUCCUACGCGCCAGGGUGCCUUCAUGGGGUAGGUGGCCGGGCGCGAGCGGGCGUGUCUCCACCUCACGGCAGCCGCAGCACGGCGGCGACGGGCUCGGGCAGCGGCGGCCGGCUCGCAGGGGGCAGCAGCCGGGCGGCGCGUGGCAGCAACAGCAGGUGGGCGGCGGCGCGCCGGCUCGCGGGGUAGCAGCAGAAGGCGGGCGGCGGCGGCCUGCGCGCGGAGCCAUGCGCGGGGCAGCCGCGGCGGCGAUAGGGGCAGCGGCCUCGGGCGAGCUCAGAUGCUAUAGGGGCAGCGUCUUCGGGCGAGCGCAGCGACGGCGACGGCGGGCGAGCAGCAGCAGGCAGCAGCGCAGCGGGCGCGCGCAGCAGCUGCGGCGGCGCCUGCCGGCAGUGAGAGCAGCAACAGCAGCUGAAAGCAAGUCACAGAGGAACUGUUGAAUCUGACCAAUUUUAAGUUUUCUUAAAAAAGAAAAACUGAAGACAGUCAUAAUACUUCAACUACACAGAUUUUACUUACCAAAUUUUAGAGUUGCAGCGGAGCAAAGAUGAACAAGUUUAGCAGUAGCAGUGAAGAUAAUAACAAUAAGAACAGUUGUACAUCAACAGAGAGUAUAAGAUUGAGAAACGAUAUCACCAGAACACGAAGACACAGGGAUUUGUUUUCCGAAGUUCAGAUUGUUGGCACAAUUCUACGUCUCCGUUGAGUGGGCUGAGUCACACAAGACUCGCAGACACACAAGUCCACCCAAUCCUCCUGAGCUAAGACUGAAGUCUCGCCCAGUUACUCGUGGUAGAUCUUGAGGUGAUCUCCGGACCUUCACAGACUGGUUGAUGGCCAAUCACAAUCUUCGAUUGCUCUUCAACACUGACUCCUAGCCGUCUAGGUGAUGCCAAUCACCAAGAGUAACAAGCUUCAAGUGCUCGGCUAGAGAGGGAAUCCCAUUCUUCACGCUCAGUUCAGCUCUAAGGGUUUUAUCAGGUGUUCUUCAAAACAACUCACUCGGGAUCACCACCGAAUUCCUUCGGGGUGGGUCGUCUUAUAUAGCCUUGGCCACGGCUGAUCUAGCCGUUAUGAUCCGUUAGAUAAAGUGAACUUUGAGCCUCCAGCUCACACUUUAUCACUUUGUCUCACAACGGUUAGAUUAGGUGGUCAAGCACGAAAGCGACAGAUUUUCAAACACAUUUGAACUCAGAGUGAAGACUUCACGCGGAAAUUUCUAUGAGGCCUGAAAUGCUUCAUUCUUCACUCCGACAAAAAACACACACUGAAAAUGGUUUUUGCCUAAGCUGAACAUGAAGAAUAAGAUUUCAUCUAAACCAGCUCCACACUUUAAAACCCCCUUAAUAGUACGGUGUUCCUAUAUUCUAGUGAAGAAAAAGCUACGGAAAAACUUAUGAAGAAAGCUACACUUCACAUUCUACUCCGUUCUUCACUACGUUCUUCGUACCUCAAGCCAGUACCUGUACUUCAAUUUUUAGGGGUCGUCGAUGCUGGCUAAACCAACUCUUCUGAGGAACUAAAACCUGAAACACUCCGUGUAACUCAUUAGUUCCUCAACCAUGUUGUCAUCAUUCAUCAAAACCCAUACAGGGGCAAGGUUUCCCUUUCAGCAGCGGCGGGGGAGGCCGGCGGCGAGAGUACCAGCAGCCGCGAGCGAAGGUGGCCUAUUUUUUUUAAUUCUCCGAUUUUCUUUGCUGGAGGAUUUGUUUGGCUUACGGCAAAGAAAUUGGCCUGUCGUUUUGUUCGCGUGCUAUUUGGCCGUCGGCAAAGACUUUGCCAAAGGCAAUGUAAAAAGGCCGCCGGCAAAGAUGCUUUUACCGGCUGGUCUCUGCCGACGGCCUUUGCCGGCGGCCCCGAUUCUUUGCCUUUGCCGGCGGGGGUGGGGGGGUGGGGGGUGGGGGAGGCUAUUGUCUCUUUGCCGACAGCUUUUGGCCGCUGGCAACACGAGUUUUUCCAGUAGUGUGAGGCCUCCAACCUCGCCUUCGAAGAGACGCUCAAGAAAAUUUUGUCGGAGAAGGAGGUGGGAAGGGAGAAGAACCAACAAAUAAUGGAGCAGCAAAUGAAUAACUACCUCGAUCUUCAAAAAAGUAAGCUCGCCAUCAAGAGCCAAUGUGAAGGCAAGAGCCAAGGAAGCCGAGGCUGCUCUACUCGCCAAGGAGACACAGAUCAGGACGGCCGACUUGAACCUCCUGGACCAGGGACGGAAGCUUGGUUCGAGUCCAGGCGGAAGAUGAUACAAGAUUGAGAUGCGCCCUCUCGCUAUCUAGUUGAUCGCCCGCAUGUGGUCCCAGUUUGUUUGUUUUUUGUAAUGUACAAUUCUUUUCAUGUCUGAUGGUGAGGCGUAAAACGUUGAUAUGUUUCUUUUGCUAAUUUGGCUAUUUUGUGGCCUCAAUUGUUUGCUUACAAUGGCCUGGAGGCCACAAAAUAGGGGAGCGGCCAAAAACAGGGGAGCCAUUUGAAUUCGAGCACCAAGUAUGGGUCGCCCCGAAACGGGUUGCGCCGCUGGGGAGAUGGGCGACCCAAGCGGACUGAGGCCAGACACGGAAGCAAUUCUCGUCCGGCCCGGGACCCAAACGGACUGAAACGGACGCAAAAGGCGUCCGAAAUGGGUCGCCCCGCUGGAGUUGCCCUAACAGGCUAGGUUAGGUACGACGCUAAUGUGGCAAGUAAAUAGGCAUUCUAGCCACGUGGAUUUUUGCACGUGGGCGAUGGGUCAUACAUGUCAGGUUGAACGCACUAAGCCGGUAAAUUAAGGUUUUUGAGAAGACCUAUCUUAAGAGUUAAGUAUGGCCUCAUAAAAUUUAGCCACAUUUUUUUUAAAAAAAUAGCCAUGUCUUCCAUUAAACAACAAUGUUACAACGCAUGCGCGCGCGCACACACGGAUACCAAACAACACCAUGAGAAAGACAUAUGUCACGAAGAUUUGUAUAAACGAAUCUCCAAUAACAAGGUUACAAUAUUCCCCGCGCGCCAUGCUGUCAUUGAAGAAGGAAAGAGGGCAAUCGAUAGUCACAUAUCUAUUGGAGCACCAUAGCAGAAAACACUGCUUUUUGAACCGAUGAGCUGGACCAGGACCGCCGCAGUUGGCGCAACCGAGGCUUUGUGUCACGUCACCCGGGGAUCUUCCCCAUUUCCACCUGAACCCAGUGCCGCUAUCUUCAUGCACCGCAAUUGACAGCCGCCAUCUCCUCCCACUCAAUGGCUACGGCAGCCGGCUGAGCCCACCCCACGUACCCCAGCAUACCCACCUACGCCCCAACCCAAGCUCGCCGCCGCCCCUCACUCCCUCUUCCGCAAGGUCGUGGUCGCCCCGUCGCUGCACUUCCGAGAGUUGCGUUCAUGGCGACUUGAUUUUUUUUAGUCUUUUACAGAGCUGAUGGCAAGCUUCUCUGUACCUUUACAGAGGACUGCAACAGUUUUCGAUUGUGUAUUGCCUUGAAAUGUAGAGAUAUGAUACUGAUUUACCUUCGAACCACACUAGAAGUAGAGUUGUUCACUUGACUGAACAAAUUGUCACUAAAAGGCUACAUACGCUCAAAACACAUAAAGGGAAGAAAAAUAAACAUGCAAAUACUGCUACGGAGUAGAAGGUUUGCAGGUAACCAUUACGGAAGAAAAUCUUAUGCGACCUGGGUAGCCUGGACCCGUUCCCGCAACUGACGCGUGGCAAAACCAAAUCCCAUUUCCCUUCGUUCCCCCACAUCCCACCCAAAUCCUAAUUCCCAUGGUGGCAGGUAGUCAGUUUCUCCGGCGGGCUGUGCUGCUCCGACAAGAAUCGAGCCUUGACAAGCAACGGCGAGCUGCUACGCAGUGCGUCUUCGACGAAGAGGAGUUGCGGCCGCCCGGGCAAGCAGUGGCGUGUGGGGAUGGACCAUGGCGGACGGUGCUGCAGUGCUGCUCCAGCAAGGAGCGAGUCCUAUGAUGUACUGUCCACUGUAAGACCGUUGUCGCUAAGUCUGAAACUGUCGUUUUUCUUCAGUUAAGUUCAGUAGCAAAUAAGCUGGGCAUGCAGCACGAGGUUGUUCGUGACUUGCCCUAUUCUUCAGGUAGUUAGCUUAGUGCGCCGUCUGACUGCGUCGUGGAAUGGCACGAGCAAAGCGUCAAAGGCGGCAUGAUCUGGGCACGAACGACGCCGUGGGAUGGCGCGGCUGUAGGGCUCGUUCUGCCCUGAUUUUUCAGUUAGAUCGCACAGCUCGUUUUGAGAGUUGGUAUAAGAAGCAAUAGAAGUCGGAUCAGAAAAGAAGCAACCGUUACGCAGCACCAAACCUGUGUUUGCUCUUGUUGAUUCUACUCUCGCGUGUGUGUGUUCUGCAGCUCCGGCAACGUCAAUUGGUAUCAGAGCCCUGAUCAAGUUCUGGUGAUCUACGAUGCCAAAUUCCAAAGGUGAUCGGUCGGUUUCCCGGUCCGUGACUCCGCCGUGUUCACGAACUCUGAGUCGUGGCCGGAGCCGCGGGAGACGACGCGAUGGCCAGGUCGUGGUGCAGCAGGAGGUGGUGCGCGAGGUGAGCGGCUGCGGUGCCGUCACGUAGCCCAUGCUGACGCGCACGAACUACUUGGACUGGGCGAUUCUCAUGCGAGUCCAGCUGCAAGGCGCAGGCCUCUGGGAGGCUGUAGAAGGUGAAGAGACGUUGGCGCGGCAGGAGCGGCAGGCGUUCGGCGCCAUCCUGCGUUCGGUGCCGCCCGAGAUGAUGCGCAUGAUCGCGGCCAAGGACAACGCGCAGGACGCCUGCAACGCGGUUAAGGUGAUGUGCGCCGGCGUAGAGCGCGUCCGUGAGGCGAAGGCCCAGAAGCUGCGCAAGGAGUACGAGAACCUCGCGUUCAAGAGCGGUGAGUCUGUUGAGGACUUUGCACUGCGGCUGUCUGGCCUUGUCACCGAUCUGCAGUAGGUUGGCGACGACAUCACGGAAGAGAAGGCCGUGAAGAAGCUCCUUCGCGUGGUGCCACCGAGAAUCAAACCGGUGGCCGUCGCAAUGGAGUCGUGCCUCGAUCUGAAGCACAUGUCGAUCGAGGAGCUCUCAGGCCGUCUCUCUGCCACUGAGGAUGGGCUCGAUCCAGAGCUAGAAGUGGGCAGCAAACUGCUGCUCACCGAGGAGGAAUGGUCUGUGCGGCAACAGUCACGCGGGCAGGGCUCCAGCAACGUCAGUGGCAAGGGCGGCAAGCCGGCUACAAAGCCGAUGCCGCUAUCACCGGACAAGCCUGCAUGCUUCGGCGAGCGUUGUAAGGGCAAAUGUCGGUACUGCCACAUCGAGGGCCACUAGGCCAAGGAAUGCAGGAAGAAGAAGCGCGAUCAAGUGCGCCAGGAGAACCAAGCGUACGUCGCGCAGGUGGAGGAGCAGGCCCCCGGGCUUCUCCUUGCCAUGGCCGGCAACGGCGACGACGCCAUCGACUUGCAGCUAGCACCCGCGGUGUACGCUGGAGCCAAGCCGGUACCUGCUCCUAUACAACCUGUUCCUGGCGACCUACUUGUCCGCAACUCGAACCUCGACCCGCAGGCAGGGGAGCAGUGCGUGUUCCUCAACGAGAAGCGCUUUGUUCCGGUGCCCACCAACGAUGAGCGCUGGUACUUCGACUCCGGUGCAAGCAAUCAUAUGACCGGGUGCCGCGGGAUGCUGACCAAGAUCGACGAAUCUGUGCGAGGUACGGUGAAAUUCGGUGAUGGCUCACUCGUUCAGAUACAUGGAUGCGGUGUUGUUCUAUUUACCUACAAGAACGGAGAACACCGUGUGCUGACAGAGGUUUAUUACAUACCUCGUCUGCGCACAAGCAUCGUGAGCCUGGGUCAGCUAGAUGAAGGGGGUUGCAAAUCAGUGAUUUGUGAUGGUGAGUUGCGCCUGUAUGAUCGUGAUCGAGCUAUACUAGCUCGUGUCCCAAGGGCCAAGAACCGGUUGUACCCAGUCACUCUGACCAUGGCAACACCUGUCUGUCUGCUUGCCGGACGGACUGACAAAGCAUGGUGUUGGCAUGCCAGGUUUGGUCACUUGCACUUCAGAGCACUCCAUGAUCUGGGAGCCAAGGGUAUGGUUAGAGGUAUGCCCACGGUUCAGCGUAUUGAGCAAUUCUGCGAGGGGUGUUCACUUGGGAAGAUGCACAGGACCCCUUUCCCGCGCGUGUCAGCCUACAGAGCAGAACAGGUGCUUGAGCUGGUGCAUCGAGACUUGUGUGGGCCGAUAUCCCCACCCACAGCAGGUACGAACAGCAAGUACUUCCUGUUAGUAGUUGAUGAUUGCAGCAGAUAUAUGUGGUUGGAAGUGCUGAGGAGCAAAGAUGAGGCUUUCAAAUUCUUUCGCAAGAUCAGGGCAACUGCAGAGAGUGAAAGUGCAGUGAAGCUCAGGGCAUUCCGAACAGAUCGUGGUGGUGAGUUUAACUCCAUUGAAUUCACCGAGUUCUGCAAUGAUCAGGGGAUAAGGAGAAACACCACAGCUCCCUAUUCUCCGCAGCAAAAUGGUGUAGUUGAGAGGCGUAAUCAGUCGGUGGUAGAGAUGGCUCGCAGCUUGAUGAAGAGCAUGUGUGUACCAGCAGAGUUUUGGGGGGAGGCCGUGAGGACUGCCGUGCAUAUUUUGAAUCGCUCACCCACUCGUAGCCUGAAUGGGAUCACAACCUAUGAGGCUUGGAGGAAGAAGAAACGAUCAGUGGACUACUUCCGCACUUUUGGCUGUGUAGCACACAUGAAGAUCAUCGGCCCUGGUCUGACAAAGUUGUCUGACAGAGCACGAGCAUGUGUAUUUGUCGGAUAUGAGUCUGGCUCAAAAGCAUACCGGGUGUAUGAUCCGGUUCAGCGUCGUCUACAUGUGACGAGAGAUGUGAUUUUUGAGGAGGAUCGCAAGUGGGAUUGGGGAACUGACAACUGCACACAUGGCAAGUCGUGUGAAUUUACAGUGGUUUAUUCGGAUGAGUUAGUACGAGUGUCAGUUUCAGCUUCACCUUCUGAAUCUGUUCACUCCAGACAACAGUCCCCUCAAAUUGAUGCAGCCUCGUCAGAGGAACAACCACCAGACGAGCCCGUGACAGUGGAAGAGGAGCAACUUCGGCCCCCUAUCCAACCGUCUCACCCCAUGCAAACCCGAGCAUAGCAUGGGAUUUUCAUGCCAAAUAGAAAGUACGAAGAUUAUUUGGAAUUGGCAGAGUACUGUCUAACAGCUGCAGAGGAACCUGACAGUGUGGAUGCAGCACUGGGUGAAACCGCAUGGCACAAGGCAAUGGAAGCUGAAAUGGCUUCGAUCAAUGAGAACAACACAUGGGUCCUAACUGAACUCCCUGCAGGUCACAAAGCUAUCGGACUCAAGUGGGUGUUCAAGAUUAAGAAAGACGCUGAGGACAAUGUUGUCAAGCACAAAGCCCGGUUGGUUGCAAAAGGCUAUGCUCAAAAACAAGGAGUGGAUUUUGAUGAGGUAUUUGCUCAUGUGGCCAGGAUGGACACUGUUCGUCUGAUGCUUGCUUUGGCAGCAAGUAGGAAGUGGCAGGUGCAUCACAUGGAUGUUAAGUCUGCAUUUCUGAAUGGCAAUUUGAUGGAAGAGGUGUAUGUUCAUCAGUCGGCAGGAUUUGUUGUUAGUGACAGUGUACACAAGGUGCUGAAACUGAACAAGGCCCUGUAUGGUCUGCGUCAGGCUCCCCGAGCCUGGAAUUUCAAGCUUGAUGAAUCUCUUGCAUCACUCGGUUUUGAGAGAUGCCCGAUUGAGCAUGCUCUAUACCGAAGGGGAAAUACUGACAGCUUCUUGUUGGUAGGAGAAUAUGUGGAUGAUCUUAUCAUCACAGGCACGAGCGCAACUGAAAUUAAAGUCUUCAAGGAUCAGAUGCAUGAAUUGUUCCAAAUGAGUGAUUUGGGACUUCUGAGCUACUACCUGGGAAUCGAGGUGAGUCAGAAGGAAGGAGAAAUCACUUUAUGCCAGUCGAGCUAUGUUGCAAAACUGCUAGAAAAUGCAGGUAUGGCAGCCUGUAAUCCAUGUUGUACUCCAAUGGAAGGGAGACUGAAAUUGGGGAGAGUGGAGACAGGAAAGGCAGUGGAUGAAACCAAAUAUCAAAGUGUAAUUGGCAGCCUUCGGUACUUGGUGAAUACUCGACCUGACAUUGCAUACGCAGUUGGGAUUGCAAGCCGAUUCAUGGAGUGUCCCGGGGCACAACAUUGGGCCGCUGUAAAGCAAAUACUUCGCUAUGUGCGGGGAACUCAUGGAUAUGGCUGUAGAUAUACUUGCAGCGAAGUAUCGCCUAAUCUGAUCGGUUACAGCGACAGUGAUCUUGCGGGCGAUGUGGAUGAUCGCAAGAGCACGUCAGGCAUGGUGUUCUUCUUGGGGGGGAGCACAGUUUCUUGGUGCUCGUAGAAGCAAAAAGUGGUGGCACUGUCAUCUUGCGAGGCCGAGUACAUUGCUGCAUCUACAGUUGCUUGUCAGGCAACAUGGUUGAGUAAGCUGCUGGGAGAACUGCAGGGUAUUCCACCUUCGGUUGUGAAGCUGUUCGUGGACAACAAGUCAGCCAUAGCGCUGUCCAAAAAUCCUGUGCAUCAUGACCGGAGUAAGCACAUUGACACUCGCUAUCAUUUUAUUCGAGAGUGCAUUGCAGAAGGGAAGAUUGAUGUGGAUCAUGUUGGGACGGAGGGGCAGCUGGCUGAUAUUCUUACCAAGGCGCUGGGUCGCGUAAAGUUCAUUGAGCUAAGGCGCAAACUGGGCGUAAUCGAAGUCAAGCAGAGACAACAGCAUUAGGGGGGAGAUUUGAUGUACUGUCCACUGUAAGGCCGUUGUCGCUAAGUCUGAAACUGUCGUUUUUCUUCAGUUAAGUUCAGUAGCAAAUAAGCUGGGCAUGCAGCACGAGGUUGUUCGUGACUUGCCAUAUUCUUCAUUCUUCAGGUAGCUAGCUUAGUGUGCCGUCUUGACUGCGUCGUGGGAUGGCACGAGCAAAGCGUCAAAGGCGGCAUGAUGUGGGCACGAGCGACACCGUGGGAUGGCGCGGCUGUAGGACUCGUUCUGCCCUGAUUUUUCUCCUUUCAGUUAGAUCGUACAGCUCGUUUUGAGAGUUGGUAUAAGAAGCAAUAAAAGUCGGAUCAGAAAAAAAGCAACCGUUACGCAGCACCAAACCUGUGUUUGUCUCUUGUUGAUUCUACUCUCGCGUAUGUGUGUUCUGCAGCUCCGGCAACGUCAUCCUAACCAGCGGCGGCGAGCAGCUAGGCGGUGCAUCUCCGACGAGCAGCGGUCCGCGACCGGCGGGGCGAGCAGCAGGACUGCAACCGGCGGAGACGGAAGGAUAUUGGAUUGAGAGCUGCUGAAUUGCGACGGCACGGACAAGGAAUUUGUUCAGCACUCAUGCUGGAGAUGGAGGCAGAACUCAACUGCGGGAGUUGCAAGGGAUGGAGGCAGAAGUGCAGAACUCAACAAUGGGAUUCAAGAUUUGGUUUCAAGUUACAGAUGCUUUGUUUAGAUUGGUAUUGCCACGGUCAGUUGUGGGAGAAGGUCCGGCGUCAGGACGUGUAUUCGGUUUUUCGGCUCGGUUCGGUGUGGUUAAUAUGGUUUGUAUAUUUCGGUUAAUACGGGGUUCGGUUUCGGUUAUAACCAUUUGAUUUCGCUUCGGUUUCGGUCAUAACUAAAAUAACCAAAAUUGACGUGAAUUUUAAAGUUACACAUAAAUUUUAUAAACAUGUUUCAACACAAAAGCAAGUACUUGUUUUGAUUCUACUACUGUUUCAUGCCCGAGAGUGCAUAGAAUCGGCCCAAAACUGCAUCUUUAAAUCCAUACGUGUUCCAAAUCGGUCCAUAUUGUCCUAGAACCGGCCCAAUAGGCCCGAAAAAAUCAAACAAAAAGAAGAGAAGCUAUGAAUCGAACUCUGAACCUCAGCAACACUAAGUUGGUGCAGAAGGUUUAACCGAAAGUCGUUCUGUUUAAACCGAAAUCGAAACGGUUACACAUUUUGAAAACCGGGUAAACCAAAUUUCGGUUCGGGUUCGGUUAUUAUUUUCCGGUUUUCGGUUUCCGGUUCGGUUUUGCACAGGGUGAGUCCAGCGCCUAGGUGGAACGACCCAGGUCGCAUAAGAUUUUCUUCCAACCAUUACUAUCUACUCCCUCCGUCCCGUACUAAGUGAUUUUCUAUUACAUGUAUGUAGACGUUUUUUAGGCAUAUGGGACGAAGGGAGUAAAACAAAAGGUUGCUACGAAUAGAUGAAUUGGGGAGGAGAUGCUGUAGUAUCUGUAAUGCCCCACAGACACAUGCCAAGACUGCCAAAGACGCUAGGUUUGCCGGCGGCUCGGUCUGUCAAGGUUCUACAAAUAGAUGAAUUCAGGAGGAGACGAUGAGCCUGUGGUGACUUCGUCAAUCUCAGAAUAAUCUGCCGGCGACUUGAUCUCUCGAAGGUGUUCAUAAAAGUAGGGUGUCGUCUGUAUUGUGUUUUCUAAAAAAUAAAAAUCCUCGAGCAUAUAUUUUUUUUAACUUUUUUACUUAUACUUUCAGUUUUUUUCGGUUCAUGAAAUUCGUUCCAAGUCUUCGUCGGUUUGAUGCGUACCAGAGUUGUACAUCUUCCUUGAGAAAAUAGCCGAUAAGAACAAGUCCAGUUGCUGCAGCUAGCUUUACCGCCGCGUAAGAUGCAUAGGUUCGAAGAAAUCUUGAAUCACGAGGUUAACAUACGUAGACUACAUGCAUGGCUUGACUACAUGCAUGGCUUCUGCCUAUUCAGACAUGUGAGAAUGAGACUCGCAUAUAUCGUUACGUGAGAUGUGACAUAGAGACGCCUGCGCGUGGAACGUCUGACAAAUAGUUCUUGCUUUAAUCUCUAGUCUGUACGUUUGACGUACGUACACGACUCGUGCAGUUAAUUCAGAAUCUGUGAUUCAUUCCUUUAAUAAAGAAAAGGCCUUUUGCCUCUUGUCUCAUUGAUGUACGCCAAAAAACCAUUUAAACCCAAUUGUAUGUAAAGAGAAUUAAGCAGUAUCCGUACCUUAAUUCCCUUUCUUUUUCUGUUGCUUGGGCGAGAUAAGUAGUACUCCCUCCGAUCCUAAAUUAUUGUCGAAAUAUUACAUGUAUUUAGACGUUUUUUAAGAAUAGAUACAUUCAUAUUUGAGUAAAUUUGAGUUAAGAAUUUAAAAUCAGAGGAAUAAGUAGUGGUAUUCGGUUUGUAGGAUUUCACAGACAAUACUAUGAAGGAUUGAGAAUUGCUUAGGAAACUUCCUCGUAUAUGCAUUCGUUUUGUAGAAAAGUGACAAAAUGAUUCCGUAGGAAUAUUAUUGGUUUCUAUGUCUUUUGAGGAAAAUGAACAUUAGAUCACCCCUUUUUUUCAUAGAAAUGAAGCUUUCAAUUUUUUUCCUAUGUUUUGCUUUUCUUUAAACCGAAUGAGCCCGUAUAUACAGCCUGAGAAUAUAUUUUUCUGACUUUUGACUGAUCGCUCCGUCCAAAACGUCUUCUUCUUUCACGCACCGCAAUAACAUCGUACUUGCCAACGUCAGCUUGUGCAAAAAUAGCAUAUUUCGAAGUACUAUUUGUUUUAAGAAAAAAAUAUAGGAUGCAUGUAGAUAAUGGGUAUAGACUUAUUCUAGACACAAAAAGGAACCCACAAAACUAGAGUUCUCACGCCAUUGCUUCUAGAUAGAUCGUUGCAUGGACAACCCCUGGAGAUCCACGGAUGGUCAACGCCGAAGGCCACGUCGAGACCCUGCAUCACUCACCACCAUUGUCAUUGCAACAUAGAUCGCAAUACGACCACAAGUUUCCUUCGAACACCAGUCUCUCUAGUCAACGCUAGUUCUAAAGACGAUGCCUCCAACAAGAGAACAACGACAAGCACCACCAUCGUCCAGUCCAAGAAAACCUGAAGCUAGGAUUUCCCCGAGAGCUUGCCUUGGGGAUGGGUGCAAAGGGCCACAACAACGCCUUGAAGAAGAUGAUGGCGCCCAAAGACGUCACCGGUGUAGACUCUAGUAACUAAGGGCAAGUCCACGGGGCGACCCAAACAGACCGCUUUUUGUGUCCGUUUGGGUCGUGGGCCGUACAGAAUUCGCUCCACUGCCCGGCCUUCGUCCGUUUGGGUUGCCCACCACUCCAGCGGUGCGACCCAAACGAUGCGACCCAUAUUUGGCGCCCAAAUUCAAAAACCUCCCCUGUUCAUGGCCAGACUCCCCGCCGGCAAGGAUUGAGGCCAAAUCGACGGCAAUUUAAGAUAGGAAAAAUACAAAUUAGUGUCCAGGCCUCGUCGGCAUACAUAGCAAGCAUAGUUUCAUACACAAAAUGCAACAGAGUUGGCCACGUAUCAUUCCUCCGAGGGCGCGGGCGCAUCGCAUUCUUAUAUCAUCUUCCUCUUGGCCAAGAACCAAGCUCGCGUCGGUUCGUCCAUGAGGCUCAAGUCCGCCGUCAUGAUCCUUGUCUCCUCAGCAAGCAUAGCGGCCGCGGCUGCAGUUCUGGUCGUCGCCGCAUUGGCCUCCUCGAUAGCGAGCUUCCUCUUUUGCACGUCGAUGAAUUCCUUCAUUUGCUCCUCCUUUAGUUGAAGCCGUGUCGGGCGAUUCCGACGAUGGCCUGGAAGUCGGCGUCGUCGGCUGGGGCAGCGGUGGGCGGCUCACUACACUAGACUCCGUGCUCGCCGCCGUCGCCAGCAAGCUGUCGGGCGGCAAUGUACCAUGGCCUCGGCCUGCCGUCCUUGGGCAAGGGUGGCUUCCUUGAGGCACCGCUCCCUUUCGUCCUCAAGCUCCCGCUCUUUGGCGGCAGCUUGCCCCGCAUCCCUUGCUAGCUUACGCACCCGUCGUUGCCCCCUCUUCUGGGUCUCGAUGGCCCUAGCCUCCGGGGUCAUCUCCUUCUUCGGUUUCCUAGGUCGAGUGAGGGCGGGGGGAGCAGUUGGGUCUAGGGCUGCCACGGCUGCGACGAGGGCGGCUUGCUCGAGGAUGGCGCCGACGAGAAGGGCGGGAUUUCUGGCUGCCAUGGGAGGAGAGCGUGCGGGAGGUAGUGGGGAAGAAAGGGGGGCAAAUGAAAUUUGAGAUUUCAGAUUGGGUACGCAGACGGGGGGGGGCAGAGGUGUAUCGAGGACGGACGAGCGAAGCUCCGUUCCUCAUCCGCACGCGACGCAUUCGAUCCGGGGGGAAAUCCGGACGCCCGCCCAAAUACGUCGCCCCGCUGGACCACAGUUUCGGUCCGUUUCCCGCAAACGGACCGUCCCGGCCCAAAUGGGUCGCCCCGCUGGAGGUGACCUAACUUUUCCAUUAUGUAUCUCCACUAUAAGCCCGCCCAAGUGCACCGCACAAGCCCAUUGCUACCGCCGCUGGGGCACCGGAGCUCCUUUCUCCCGCCUUGCAAACCCUGUCUAUCACAUUUGAAUUAUCCGAGAUGCCCCUAUAGACAUUUAUGAGGGAGUAAGAUUCAUCAAUCUGUUGGAUUGAUAAAACAAUAUACACUCAUUUCACUCGCUGGUCAAAUCAUCUACAAUGGCAGCUUCAGCCUCUUCAAUCCUGGAGGGAAGCAGUGGUUCAAAUUGGACAGAAUGUCGAUCCGUGCCCAGCAACUUAAGAAACUCAUCCUCACACAAUAUUUUCGGUGCUUUGGACUUCUCCAUAAGAAGAAUGCCCUCUGCUAGCCUUUCGUCCUCGUUGACUCCUGACAGAUGGAUGCUAGAAAUCAGGUCUGACUUUUGCAGACUAUCUCUAGCUUGCAGAGCAGCACAGUUUGUGAUGAACUUCUCUGUGGCGCUUAUCUUCAUAUUCUGAGUCGUCGGAAUGGACACGGUUUCGUUGUUAGCUGGGUAAUAGCAUGACAUCCCCAAUUCAGAUUCAAUCCUGUCCUUCAAAAAGGCCAUCUGAGGCUUUUCUCCAUGAACAAGAAUCACAUGGUUGGGUGAAAGAAAUUCUGUAAGAUCCAUGAUCCCCUUGGAGUCUGUGUGAGGACUGAAUGACAGCUGAUGGAUCUGAUGCACAAAGAGAACAGUAUGAGAAGAUAAGCAAAAUAAUAUAAAAAAGAGGAUGGAUAUACAAAAACAGAGGAAACAAGAAUUACAAAAGCUAACUAACCAUUUUUUUUAAAAGUGUAAGACAACCCAAGUGUGUGUGUAGAUAAAAGGCUACCGUCCUCGGACUUAGUUUUUACCAUGUAGAGCCAAUUUGUUUAACAGCUAGUAACUGCAGAAGUUAUGGAAUUGACAGUUCUUGCUAAAUGAUAAUCAGAGGUGACCCACUGAACUUCUAAGGAAGAUCCGGACUUUUUAAGGAUACAAUAAAUAGCUCAGAAGACAGACUAGUGGUGAGUAAUGGCACAAGAUAAUAUCCAUUUCCUGGCAGUUUUCUACAGAGAACACGCCAUAACCACUGAACUACCAAUUGUACAAGGACAACUUCUUGAAACUUCCUCCAUUCUAGUUCUUGUGUUCUUAUAAUUAUAAACUGCAUUUUACAGUACAGAGUGAGAGAACUGUAAAAUGAACGAAGAGCAACCUGACAUCUGACAUCAACAUGGGUAUCCUUGUCAAUAUCAAUCCUAGUAGGUUUUCCAGACAUCAACUUAUGUCCAAUGGUUCCAGCAACACAAUAUCUGCAUGUGGAUAAUAAAGGUGACAUCAAAACAACUAUCACAGCUCAAAUAUCUAUAUUCAUACCAAUAUAAAAGGCAGAGCCAGCUGUACCCAAAAAAAAUUGGAGACCUGGCGCAAAGUAUAAAAUUAGGCCCCAAGUAUAACAAAAACCAGUUAUGAACCCUAUCACGUGCUCCCAUUCUAUUUUCUGAUAUAUGUUAUUUUCAGCGGUGAGUGAAUAACCCAUUUAUUGUUGUUUCGGAAAAAAUGUAUGAAGACAAAAAAAAUUAUGUAUCAUCUGGACUUUUGAUAAUACAAUUGUUUGAGGAAUGACAUCUUAUCAAAAAAGAAAAUCUUGGAACACUGAGGUACUAUUUCUUUUAGCAAAAAAGUGUCAUAGUUCUACCAUUCCUCGAUGCAAAAUCUUCCAUUUAUUGUUCAUGACCAACCAUCUCCAAAACAAUCAUUUACAAUGGCUACUGUAACAGUUCACUGAGUCUUUUUUGCAUCGCUACAGAAUGCAAUUAGGACUUCAACACGUUGCAAAAAAAAUAAAAAUAGGACUUCAACAAUUUCAGUUUAGAAAAACAAAAAUCAGCUGAUGCACUGGUCGCUAGAAUAGUCAACAAAUUCUACAUGCAACAGUUACAUUAGGAAGACAAUAUGAUCAUUUAAAAAAACAUCAACCCUGGAGUAAUUUUAACUUUACAACAGUGUCGGAACUUCACAUUCUUAAGUGCAGCCGCAAGGCAAUUGGAGAAGACUUAAACUGAUGUCUUCUGGUUAGAAUGAAGAGGAAAGGUACAGAGAGAAAUGGAAGUUAACAAGGCAUGCUUCAUGUGGAACCCAGCACUUAACUAGCUGAGUGUCCCAUGCAUUGCCACAGUAUUUACAAAUUAUUUAUGUUCAAAAUUUAAACUGAUAAUUAUUCUCUUAAUUGUUUUUUUUCUUAGAGCAUCUUGAUUGUUGUCUUAAGUGUUCGCUGCCAGUUUUGGGCUAGACCAGUUAACUUUGCAUGCGGUGAGCAAGCAUUUUUAUCGGCUGCUGGCUUCCUAGUUUGUUGUCGAUCAUGGGAUAGGCCAAUUAAUAAUUAUGUGUGCGGUGGUGGUGGAUAGACGGAGCCCAAAUGCAAAUUAAUAGGUACUCCCUCCGUCCCAUAAUAUGAGGCAUGCACGCAUCCCUAGAUCCUCAAUUUGAUUAAUUAAAUAUGUAUGUUUCUUAACAAAAAGUACACCAUUAGACUCGUUAUCGAAAAAACUUUCUAAUGAUAUAAUUUUUUACUUAUUUAUUAAUUUAUUUAGUUAGCUAAAUUGAUGAUCUAGGGAUGCGUGCGUACCUCAUAUUAUGGGACGGAGGGAGUAGCAUAAUAAGCCUAACUCGUUGCGGUCUUGGGCCAGACCCAUUACUUUUGUUGCUAUGGUGGUAGAGAGUCGUGGAUGAACGGACACAUGGACACCAACUGUAAAUUAAUAGGUACUCCCUCCAAUCCUAAAUUAUUGUCGAAAUAUUACAUGUAUCUAGACGCUUUUUAAGAAUAGAUACAUCCAUAUUUGGGCAAAUUUGAGUCAAGAAUUUAGCAUCAGAGGGAUUAUUAUAUAGAUAAUCACAAUGGGAAUCCUGCUGAUUUGGAGGCCCUUUGCAGACGCGCACGCUGCACAGGUUUCCCAGGCCUGAUAAAAGGUUAAAGGUAUGAGUUAGUCUGAUACUUUUCAACGCAACUGUCUGAAAUAUUUAUUCCAGUAAUCUAAAAAAAAUCAUGAUUUUUAUCCAAUGGCUGCGCACAAAGUUAGAAACCCCUAAUCACUCAUACUAGUUACAUUAUUAACCCCCUUAAUAACCCAUGUUUCAUCUCUGCCUUUCAUUUCAUACCAACCCCAUUCCCCAGGUGCACAUCUUUGUAUCCCGCAGCAUCAAUUCAUAUGGCACCUGGUUAUGCUCUUUCAUCCUUUUGUUGAAAUGCUACCAAUCUCAAGAACUACACGGGUCAGUAAAAGAUUCAGAAGGUUCACCUUCAAGGUUCAGAUGCCAAUUUCGCUGGUUAAUAAUUGAUUUACUUGCAGGUUUAAUGCUUUCAUUGCACCAUAAACAUGUGUGUGCAUCUUAAUUACACUUGUCAACUCGCACAUUGUGCAUACACAUUUGCUAGUUUUGAAACAAGCAGAAAGGUUUUCCCUAUUUGACUUCUUUCUGUAAAUGAUGAAGAAAAAUAGAUUUUGAACAAAAACUGAAGCAGAAAAAUGUGAACAGAAAGACACCAUGUGAAAGCAUUCAGUAAAAGAGAACACAGGAUAGACUUCUGCUGUAACAACCGAACAUCAGUGAUUUGUUCAGAAGUACUACGCAACAUGGAAAACACAAGAAAUUCUAAGGGUUCAGAGGAAUACCCUGGUAGUGUCACCAAAUUUUUGUCUGAUGUAGCCCACCUCUUAAACACCUCAAGAGAAAAUCCACCACUGAUCAUACCAGGUGUUGCAAAAAGUACACAUGGUCCAGGAUCGUUAAUGAAUGAACGCUCAAAAUGGCAAACUGCAAUGUGACAAAACCUUCAGUGUUGUUCUGAUAUAGGAUUUGCAAAUAAAUUAUAAUCAAAUAUUUCUGUUUAAGACAGAGUUGCACAUAAGAGUUGGAUGCCGAAAGUUUUUCUUCAACCUUCACUAAAAAAAGCAAAGUAGUGAACAAACGGACAUAACAACCAGUAGAUACUGCCGUAGUUUUUUAUAUAAAUGCAAAAAAUUGAAGUGCAAGCCGACUAAAUGGCUUAACUGCAAAUUUCAUUAUUUUUUUUGCUCAAUGAAAUGGGCUUUAUCUUCAUUUUUCUUAUGAUUCGACUUAUGAGCUUUUUCAGCAUACCAUGCUUGAAGUCAAAUGGGUUUUGAACUGUGUAGCUGUCCUUGAUCUUUUGGCUAGUCCAUCCAAUAAGCAUCUUGUAGUACAUGUUAGCUUGAAUGGUUAAACCUAUAGAACAAAUAUAUUCUCAAACAAAGCAGACAAUUACAUGAACGCAAGUUAAAGUUUGACCAAAAAACACAUACCAGCUGAAAAAUAAAUAGGAAUCUUCAAGUUCAUCCUUUCCCAAUAGUCAUCGAGUAAUAUGCAUAGCUCCUGAAAUCGAUAAGAGCAGUGUGUAAACUAGAAUUCUAUUUAUGGAAGUACGGGAUAGUGCGCUCCCAGGUAUACCUUCUUCCGAAGGAAACCUAUUCAUUCAAGUAUAGUGCUAAUAGUUCACUGUAAAUGGCAUUAUCAGUAAAGUAGAUUUAUUUAUUUUAAACUGAGGCCCACGUGUCAUUCUUUCCUGGGAAACUUGGGUGGCACCCGAAACCCUAGCCGCUGGGUGAAGCUUACACGCUAGAUGGAGGCGUCAUGGCUGUCUCUGGUUUGUGGUCUGCUCGGACUGUUUCGUAUGUGCGGCUUGAUGGCAGCCAACCAAGUUCUUGGGCUAGCACAGUUGCAGGCAGUGCUAGGCUUUUGCCGCUCUGUCGGUGCAAGGUUGCUGAGGUUGUGUGAGUGGUGUUCGGGAUGCUCCAGGUGAAUGCCCUGGACGAACUUGAUCAGUGCCAGCGACAAAAGUGCCCUCAGGCUCGUUUCCCUUUAUGGCGUCAGAGGAGUGUCGAUUCACCUGCAUCCCUUGUGAUCUAGUUCUCGUGGUGAAAACCCAGAUCUGGCUUGCCGGAUCAGAUGACAGGAGCAGCGUUGACGUCACUCCCUCAUGGAAGGCCUUGUUCUUGGUGUCCUGACCCUCAGUUGGCACAGGGGCAGGCAGCACACACCUUGGCGGGCAAAUCCUUAGUGUGCCUGCAUCGCGCUUGUGCAGCUACCUAGGGUGCCACGGGUAGCGGUUUGUGGAGGAUCCCAUGUUGCUGUGUCUUGGUCGCAUGUGGCACUCGAGGGGUAUCAGCUGAUGGCUGUGAGCAUAUGUUUCUCUCGUGAGUGUGACAGUGUGUGGUGGUCAACAUUUAAGGGUUAAGGCACGAGCGGAGGUUGGCCCUU
rnacentral:lncRNA from 1 species